GCUGCUGCCGUUGCCCUCUGCGCCAGACCACGCCGCCGCCGCCGCCGCGCACCACUGCCCCUUGCUCCACGGGCAGUGGCUGUUUGGUGGCCCUUCUCCAUCCCUAGGACUGACCCCUUCUUCCUCUGUGGAGCUGGUACCCAUUUUCCCUCAUGUCUGCCCAUCUGCUCUUCCGCCUACUGUGGCAAAAAGUUGGCUGGACAAAAGGAUACCUAACUGUAAGAUCUUUUUUAAUAAUUCCUUUGCUCUGGACUCAACAUGGAUCUAUCCUGAGGAAUCAAGGUUGUUCCAUGGGCAUGAAAAGCCUCAUUUGUUGGCAAAUCAAAUGGCGAUGUCUCUAUCCAGACCAGCUCCUGCCUCCAGGCCUCUCCCCACACUGGUGCUCGCACCUCAGCCGAUGCCAGGUUGUUGGAUCCGACACCAAAAGCAGAAGCAGCAAGAGCACAGGAGGGAUGACGUCACACUUAAAAGCUCCCGCGAAAGAAACAAUCCCGGAGAUGAAAGAACAACUUUCAGAGUGGGGGAAAGGAUUGGCAGAUCAUGUAUCUGUUA